AGCAGCCGCGGUAAUUCCAGCUCCAAUAGCGUAUAUUAAAGUUGUUGCAGUUAAAAAGCUCGUAGUUGAAUUUCGAGACCGGUUUAUUGGUCGUGCUUUUGUACGUACUGGUAUUAUUGGUUUCUCCUUUCUGACGAAUCUUAAUGCCAUUAAUUUGGUGUUUUGGGGAAUCAGGACUGUUACUUUGAAAAAAUUAGAGUGUUUAAAGCAGGCUCACGCUUGAAUACAUUAGCAUGGAAUAACGGAAUAGGACGUUUGAUUCUAUUUUGUUGGUUUCUAGGAUCGACGUAAUGAUUAAUAGGGAUAGUUGGGGGCAUUAGUAUUCAAUUGUCAGAGGUGAAAUUCUUGGAUUUAUUGAAGACUAACUACUGCGAAAGCAUUUUGCCAAAGGAUGUUUUCAUUAAUCAAGAACGAAAGUUAGGGGAUCGAAGACGAUCAGAUACCGUCGUAGUCUUAACCAUAAACUAUGCCGACUAGGGAUCGGAUGAUGUUAAUUUUUUAAUGUACUCAUUCGGCGCCUUACGG
rnacentral:rRNA from 1 species